rnacentral:other from 1 species
CAUCCCCUGCGGUGUUCGAGGAUGGAUCUGAAUAUUUCUUGAGCCAUACAAAUGUCCAGGGAGCUGUGUGUCAGUGUCAUGUGCAUGUCCGCUAGCCGGAAAGCCUGAGGCAUUGACUAGGUUCCCACCUGAACCAUUGGUUCAAGGACGACGAUCUAAUUACGGCACAGGCGGGGGAUAC